AUACAUGGCCGACGCGAGUCAAAGUGUAGUAUCUGCUCUGAUCAGUUUAAUAACUGAUGCGAGCUUUAUUUAGACGUAAGAUAUUACGCUUAUUUUUGCAAGUUGACGGAGUGCUUGAAGCCUGCGUCACCUCCACCGCGGGUCAGCCUGGUAUUGCACUAUCUUCAGGAUCGGCCCAUGGUUC